rnacentral:rRNA from 1 species
GACGAACGCUGGCGGCGUGCUUAACACAUGCAAGUGGAGCGACGAACCAGGGCUUGCCCUGGGGCAGAGCCGCGAACGGGUGAGUAACACGUGGGUAACGUGCCCCGAUGACUGGGACAACCCGGGGAAACCCGGGCUAAUACCGGAUGUGCCCCCUCACAUCAGUGAGGUGUGUAAAGGAAGCUUCGGCCUCCGCAUCGGGAUCGGCCCGCGGCCCAUUAGCUUGUUGGUGAGGUAACGGCUCACCAAGGCUGCGAUGGGUAGCUGGUCUGAGAGGACGAUCAGCCACACUGGGACUGAGACACGGCCCAGACUCCUACGGGAGGCAGCAGUGGGGAAUCUUGCGCAAUGCGCGAAAGCGUGACGCAGCAACGCCGCGUGGGGGAAGACGGCCUUCGGGUUGUAAACCCCUUUCAGUUGGGACGAAGGUCGGGCGGUUAACAGCCGUUCCGGCUGACGGUACCUGCACAAGAAGCCCCGGCUAACUACGUG